rfam:TPA: Bos taurus chromosome 1, whole genome shotgun sequence.
UCCCUGAUGGCUCAGAUGGUAAAGUAUCUGCCUACAAUGCAGGAGACCCAAGUUCAAUCCCUGGGUUGGGAA